rnacentral:rRNA from 1 species
GACGAACGCUGGCGGCGUGCUUAACACAUGCAAGUCGAACGGAAAGGCCCUGCUUUUGUGGGGUGCUCGAGUGGCGAACGGGUGAGUAACACGUGAGUAACCUGCCCUUGACUUUGGGAUAACUUCAGGAAACUGGGGCUAAUACCGGAUAGGAGCUCCUGCUGCAUGGUGGGGGUUGGAAAGUUUCGGCGGUUGGGGAUGGACUCGCGGCUUAUCAGCUUGUUGGUGGGGUAGUGGCUUACCAAGGCUUUGACGGGUAGCCGGCCUGAGAGGGUGACCGGCCACAAUGGGACUGAGAUACGGACCAGACGCCAACGGGAGGCAGCAGUGGGGAAUAUUGCACAAUGGGCGGAAGCCUGAUGCAGCAACGCCGCGUGCGGGAUGACGGCCUUCGGGUGGUAAACCGCUGUCGCCUGUGACGAAGCGUGAGUGACGGUAAUGGGUAAAGAAGCACCGGCUAACUACGUG